UAUUUAAAUGCAGAAAAACGUGUGCGCCUACAUGUACAUAUAUACUUAUAUAUAGACAGAAAUGAAGCGAUAAAGCAGUAGUGCCGUGGCUGAGAUUUAUCAGAGUUUGUCAACUUGCAAUGGCCAUCCCUCUCCUCCUCCUCUUCCUUUUCUUUUCAGAUUCUUUGACGAAGAGCGAGAGCUUAGGAGUAGGGAUCAACUACGGCCAGAUUGCGAACAACCUUCCGUCGGCGUCGCGCGUGGCGUCUCUCCUCCGAUCCGUCAACAUCACCAAAGUAAAGCUCUACGACGCCGAUCCAGUCGUCCUCUCCGCCUUCGCCAACUCCGGCGUCGAAUUCGUGAUCGGAUUAGGCAACGAGUAUCUCCAGAAGAUGACCGAUCCAAUCCAAGCCCAAUCCUGGAUCCAGCAGCACGUCCAGCCCUACAUCUCCCAGACCAAAAUCACCUGCAUCACCGUCGGCAACGAGGUCCUCAUGGGCAACGACACUCAGCUCAAAUCCUACCUCCUCCCGGCAAUGCAGACCGUCGCCGCCGCCCUCCGCACUCUCGGCCUCACCAAGGACAUCUACGUCACCACCGCCCACUCCUUCAACAUCCUCGCCAACUCCUUCCCCCCCUCCGCCGGCGCCUUCCGCCCCGAUCUCGCCGAGUAUAUGCAGGGGAUCCUCGCCUUCCACAAGCAGACCAACUCCCCCUUCCUCAUCAAUGUCUACCCCUUCUUCGCUUACAAGGACAGCAACGGCCAGGUCUUGCUCGACUACGUCCUCUUCCAGCCCAAUCCCGGCACCAUCGAUCCAAACACCAAUUUGCACUACGACAACAUGCUCUACGCGCAGAUUGACGCUGUUUACGCGGCUAUUAAGGCGCUAGGCCAUACCGACAUCCAAGUGAAGGUCUCCGAAACGGGAUGGCCUUCCAAGGGCGAUCCUAAUGAGUUUGGGGCGACGCCGGAGAAUGCGAGAUUGUACAAUGGGAAUCUGCUUAGUAGGAUAGAGCAGAGGCAGGGGACUCCGGCGAAGCCUCAAGUGCCCAUUGAUGUCUUCUUUUUCGCGCUUUUUAAUGAGAAUAUGAAGCCCGGCCCGGUUUCUGAGAGGAACUACGGCUUGUAUUACCCUGAUGGCUCUCCUGUUUACAACAUUGGGCUGCAGGGUAUUCUUCCCCGUAUGGAUUACUCAGCUUCUGCCAAAAAUGUUGGGAUGUUGUCCAGUGGUAUUCUUUCGUUAUUGUUAGUUACUAUAUGUUUGUUGUAGCGGAAGAGGGAGUUUACGGACAACACUUUUUCUUCACCAUUUCCUUUACAGGGAAAACGUUCCAGGUGAUGCUGCAAAAGAGGGCUUUUGCGAUGGAAUAGAAAAGAUUGUGCAGAAGACAGCCUUGGAGAGUAGGAAUUUUUAGACAGGGAUACACAUACUUCUUAGAUUGGUUAGGAAAUUCAUCCAUAUAAACACAGAAUAAAUAUCAUACUCGUGAUUUUAAUCAUAGAUUUUUUUUUUGGCACAAUAGAGAUGUACUCUAGUUUAAUGUAUUCGAUUUCGUGACAGAUUCGUUUUAAUCAUAACUUUUCUACUUAUUUAUAUAUCA